rnacentral:rRNA from 1 species
UACGGAGGGGGCUAGCGUUGUCCGGAAUCAUUGGGCGUAAAGUGCGUGUAGGCGGCCCGAAAAGUCUGAUGUGAAAACUUGGGGCUCAACCCUAAGCCUGCAUUGGAUACUGUCGGGCUCGAGUCUGGAAGAGGAGAGUGGAAUUCCUGGUGUAGCGGUGGAAUGCGCAGAUAUCAGGAGGAACACCGAUGGCGAAGGCAGGUCUCUGGGGCCGAAUACUGACGCUGAGAAGCGAAAAGCCAUGGGGAGCGAACAGG